GUGGAACUCGAGCGAGCGAACGGGGAGAUUCAUCGCUUUUUCGGGRGUCCGCGGUGCGGAGAGACGGUUUGGCUUCGGUCCGACUGCACUUCGCGUCGCAGAAAGGCUCUCGAACGGCGUGCACUUCUCCCUUAGUAAAACACCGCGACCCGUUGGCGUUUCGGUCGAACUCGCCGUGCGGUUGUCCCGUCUUAKUWUWCUAAGAUGGAGCCGCGGCGYUGUGGCCGAAAUCCGACGGUAACGAACGAGGCUCGCGUCCGCUCAUAGAGCGUCCGCGCCGUGGCGACGUCCCUUUCUCUGCGGGUCUUCGACGUAACGCGUCAAGGCUCGCWCUGCGAAGGUCGUGCUGUCCCGGCGCUCGGACGGGACGCGUCCCGGUCUGCGGUGG
rnacentral:rRNA from 1 species